AAUCAAGCACAAAGCAAAUAACCUGGGCUCAGAUCCUGGGAUAUAAGGACACUGUAGAAGGGGCCACAUGGAGACCAGGCUAUCAAGCUGCCUAACAUUACCUAAUGCCUUCUAGGCACACCUCCUCUGUCUGUAUGGCUACCUAGUCUGAUCUUUCUUGCCAGACUGACUGUAAAUGGUUCAGCCCUUCCAAAGUAACCAUGGACCUCUGGGGCUGUUGUGGACUAUCCCUAAACCUUUUUGGAGUUCAAGGAGUGACUAGAUGGAUGGAUGAAAACUGAAAUUUCCAAGUACUGGUACAGACGCUUCCUUCUCUCCAGAGAUGAAAGGAGACUCAGCCCAAUGAUGAAUCGUGCAGACUCUUCCACUCUUACCUGAUGUCUGAAGCAACCACAGCAGCAACACAUGGAAAAAGAUGAAUACGCCAGUUGACUUUUCCACAUUGAAUCCAUUUAUUUUUUACAUUAUAAAUUAUAAUAAUCUAGUCAUAGUGAAAUAACAAAACUGCUAUACCCUGCUGGGUAAUAUGUAAUAUCCUGUGAACUCCUUUUAGCCCACACAGAAACCUGCAACUUAAUUUAGGAAUAGGCAAAAUUGUUAUCUCUGACCUAUCAUCUGUAUGAGCAUGGAGAGCCAGGAACAGAGUCUUCUCCGUGGCUGCUUCAUAUUUCUCCCUCCAAUAAUAGGCUAGGCUGCCCCCCUUCUUUAAUUUAAUUUCACUCACAAAGAUCUUUUCAUUUAAAUGUGCCUGCUGUCUACUAGGUGUGCCAAAAUGAUAUUUUAAUCAGGUGUGUGAAAUACCUUCUUUACGUCAUGUUUUAUAUGUAUUUUAAACUGUUUAAAAUAUUUUAGCACAAUUGUCUGUUUCAGGUUUUUAAAAACUUAUUUUAAUUGUAUUUUGUUUUACUUCUACACUGUAAUUUGCCUUAAUUCCCUUCUUGGGAGAAAGGUGGGAUAAAUCAAAUAAACAAAUAAUCCUGU
rnacentral:lncRNA from 11 species